GAUGAAGAACUUAGCGAAAUGCGAUAAGUAAUGUGAAUUGCAGAAUUCAGUGAAUCAUCGAAUCUUUGAACGCACCUUGCGCCCUUUGGCUAUUCCGAAGGGCAUGCCUGUUUGAGUAUCAUGAACACCUCAACUCUCAUGGUUCGCCAUGAUGAGCUUGGACUCUGGGGGUCUUGCUGGCCUAUGGUCAGCUCCUCUCAAAUAAAUCAGCUUGCCAGUGUUUGGUGGCAUCACAGGUGUGAUAACUAUCUACGCUUGUGGUUUUCCAUCAGGUAACCUUCAGUGAUGGAGGUUCGCUGGAGCUCAUAAAUGUCCCUCCUCAGCGAGGACAGCUUUUUGAACGUUUGAUCUCAAAUCAGGUAGGACUACCCGCUGAACUUAAGCAUAUCAAUAAGCGGAGGA
rnacentral:misc_RNA from 1 species